rnacentral:rRNA from 1 species
UAGAGUAUUUAUUAUUAUUAUUAUAAAUUAUAUUUAAAUAUUAAAAAAAAUAAUUUUAAUUUUAUUAGUAAGUAUGAAUAAAUUAAUUUGAUUAUAGAAAAUUAGUAUUGAAAAAGUUUUGAUCUAUCUAGAUUAUAGAAAAAUUAAAUUUUUGUACCUUGUGUAUCAGGGUUUAUUAAAUAUUUUUUAUAAAAUAUAAAUUUCUCGAACUUAAAAGAUCUAUACUAAUAUAAUUUUUAUUGUAGAAUAAAUAUUAUGCAUAUUAGUAUAGAAGUGAAAUAUUAUUCGAUUUUAAAUAUAUCUAGUUUUUAAAGAAAAAAAUUUAAUUUUAUUUUUAUUUUAAUAUUUAUUUUAAUUUAUAAAUUAAUAUUAGUAAAAUGGGAUACUUUAGGGGAUGAGCUUUUAAGUAAACAAAUAAAAAUUAUAUAUUUUAUAUUUAGUAAAUAGGAUUAUAAGUUUUUAUUUUUAAUAGUGUUUUAUAACUGUCUAAAUUUUGUUUUUUUAUUUGUAUGUAUAUGAAUUUUAUAUUUUUUAUUUAAAUAUGAGUUGUAAUAAGAAAAAUUUAGUAAUAAUGAUAAAAUUAGUAUAAAAAUUUGUUUUAUAAAUUUAUAUUUUUUAGGUUUUAUAAAGGAAUUCGGCAAAUUUAUUUCUCACCUGUUUAUCAAAAACAUGUCCUUUUGAUUAGAAUCUAAGGUCUAGCCUGCUCAAUGAGUUUUAAAUGGCCGCAGUAUCCUGACUGUGCAAAGGUAGCAUAAUCAUUAGUUUUUUAAUUGAAAGCUGGAAUGAAAGGUUGAAUGAGGAAGUAGCUGUCUCUAUAAAAAUUAUAUAGAAUUUUAUUUUUAAGUAAAAAAGCUUAAAUUUAAAUAAAAGACGAGAAGACCCUAUAGAGUUUUAUACUCAUAAGAUACAUUUUUUUAUAGUAUUUUAAAUUUUGUAUUUUUAAAGUAUUUAAUUGGGGUGAUUGGAAAAUUAAAUAAACUUUUCUUGUUUUAGUACAUUUAUUUAUGAAUUUAUGAUCCUUAAAUUGAGAUUAUAAGGUAAAAUUACCUUAGGGAUAACAGCGUAAUUUUUUUUGAGAGUUCUUAUCGAAAAAAAAGAUUGCGACCUCGAUGUUGGAUUAAAGUAAACCUUUGGUGUAGAAGCUAAAUUGGUUGGGUCUGUUCGACCCUUAAAAUUUUACAUGAUCUGAGUUCAAACCGGUGUAAGCC